AGUCAACUUCAGAAACAAGUUACUGGAUUUUAUUAUACCCCAAAACAAGGAAGAGAGUGGGUGCAUUACUAAGGCAGUGACUCAGUGUUCAGGACUGUUGUUGUCACCCAGAGAGAUUCACAAAACCUCCAACCUGUCCAGCAAUACAUUUAGAAGAAACAGGAUUAGGGAAGACUCUGGAAGCAAAGAAGGCUUUAUUAAACAUAACCAUGAUCCAUAGCUGGAGUAUACAUAGGAAAUUUGGUAACUUGGAUAAGGCAAAGUCUUUUCCCUUUAGGAGCCUGUACUUUAGUGGGUGAGGAAGAACCUUCUGAAAGAAAAUGAUUUCAGCAGCAGUAUAAAAGAAAGUGGGUCACCUGUAUGAGCAAACUAACAAAGCAGAUUUAAUGAAUUAGAGGCUCAGGGACAGAAAAUGCACCAGCACGGGCAUGGUGGCAGGCUCCUGUAAUUGCAGCUACUCGGGAGGCUGAGGCAGGAGAAUCGCUUGAACUCGGGAGGCGGAGGUUGCACUGAGCUGAGAUUGUGCCAUUGCACUCCAGGCUGGGCAACAGAGCGAGACUCUGUCUCAAAAAAAAAAAAAAAGAAAAGAGAAGAAAAGAAAAUGAACCAGCAGACGGGACCAACUGCUAGCCUUCAAGGCCAUUACCUUUACCAAGGAGGGUACCAUGCUCGUGGCUGAGGAGCCAACAGGAGGAAGAUGAGGUGGACGAUGUGCCAGCCACUGUAGGCCCUGU
rnacentral:lncRNA from 10 species